rnacentral:rRNA from 1 species
AACGAACGCUGGCGGCAUGCCUAACACAUGCAAGUCGAACGAGACCUUCGGACUUAGUGGCGGACGGGUGAGUAACACGUGGGAACGUGCCUUUAGGUUCGGAAUAACUCAGGGAAACUUGUGCUAAUACCGAAUGUGCCCUUCGGGGGAAAGAUUUAUCGCCUUUAGAGCGGCCCGCGUCUGAUUAGCUAGUUGGUGAGGUAAAGGCUCACUAAGGCUACGAUCAGUAGCUGGUCUGAGAGGAUGACCGGCCACAUUGGGACUGAGACACGGCCCAAACUCCUACGGGAGGCAGCAGUGGGGAAUCUUGCGCAAUGGGCGAAAGCCUGACGCAGCCAUGCCGCGUGGAUGACUAAGGUCUUAGGAUUGUAAAAUCCUUUCACCGGUGAAGAUAAUGACGGUAGCCGGAGAAGAAGCCCCGGCUAACUUCGUGCCAGCCGCCGCAGUAACAC